GGAUCCAGACUUUGAUCAUGGCUCAGGAUGAACGCUAGCUACAGGCUUAACACAUGCAAGUCGAGGGGAAACGAUAUUGGAAGCUUGCUUCCGAUAGGCGUCGACCGGCGCACGGGUGAGUAACGCGUAUCCAACCUGCCCACCACUUGGGGAUAACCUUGCGAAAGUAAGACUAAUACCCAAUGAUAUCUCUAGAAGACAUCUGAAAGGGAUUAAAGAUUUAUCGGUGAUGGAUGGGGAUGCGUCUGAUUAGCUUGUUGGCGGGGUAACGGCCCACCAAGGCGACGAUCAGUAGGAGUUCUGAGAGGAAGGUCCCCCACAUUGGAACUGAGACACGGUCCAAACUCCUACGGGAGGCAGCAGUGAGGAAUAUUGGUCAAUGGACGAGAGUCUGAACCAGCCAAGUAGCGUGCAGGAUGACGGCCCUAUGGGUUGUAAACUGCUUUUAUAAGGGAAUAAAGUGAGCUACGUGUAGCUUUUUGCAUGUACCUUAUGAAUAAGGACCGGCUAAUUCCGUGCCAGCAGCCGCGGUAAUACGGAAGGUCCGGGCGUUAUCCGGAUUUAUUGGGUUUAAAGGGAGCGUAGGCCGGAGAUUAAGCGUGUUGUGAAAUGUAGAUGCUCAACAUCUGCACUGCAGCGCGAACUGGUUUCCUUGAGUACGCACAAAGUGGGCGGAAUUCGUGGUGUAGCGGUGAAAUGCUUAGAUAUCACGAAGAACUCCGAUUGCGAAGGCAGCUCACUGGAGCGCAACUGACGCUGAAGCUCGAAAGUGCGGGUAUCGAACAGGAUUAGAUACCCCGGUAGUCCGCACGGUAAACGAUGGAUGCCCGCUGUUGGUCUGAAUAGGUCAGCGGCCAAGCGAAAGCAUUAAGCAUCCCACCUGGGGAGUACGCCGGCAACGGUGCAACUCAAAGGAAUUGACGG
rnacentral:rRNA from 1 species